GAGGUUAUGGCUCAGUGGUAUAGCACAUGCCUAGCAUGCGUGAGGUCCUGGGUUCAAUCCCCAGUGCCUCCU
rnacentral:tRNA from 1 species